GUGCUGAAGCUAAAGGAGCUUUGGUCUUGGAAAUCUUAGUAACUGUUGGCACUGGAGCUUGUGGGAGAAAAAAAACUUCUGAUAACUGCAACUGCAACUUCCUGUGAAGUGAAAUACCAGAAAUUCAGUGCUUAUCGAUGCAGCUCAAAUUGUAUCCCAGUUGUCUUCUAGUUAAUAGCCAACCUAUUUAAAACGUUGGAUAGAAAAAACAGGCACUUCAGUGAUCAAUUUCUGAGGAUCUUGGUGGCGAGAUGGACGACUAUGGCAGAAACGUGCUGUUAGGACAUCAUUUGUUGGAGACCUCCGGCAGUCCACCGCAGUAUAAUAUAAGUGCUCUCCUCCUCUCACCAAUACCACUCCGCGUUUAUCUUCGGAUAGACACUGGCGGCUCAGGACCUUAUGGAAUGGACCAGUAUAUCCCGCAAAAAUGGAACAAAAUGGCAGCAAAGAACUCAAAAGUCAUAUAUGCCAUCUUAAGUCAGUAUCACUAUGGAUGAUGGAGAGCAACAUAUCCAUCUAAACAAAUGUUGCCCCUAGAACACUAAUACUGCGAAGAACUUGCGCAUGUGGUUUCUUUUUAUGACAACUUGACAAGUCUGUCUUAUAUAGUUAAAUCUGCUGAGAAGGAUGAUAAGAUGUUAGGUGUGCUGAGAGGCAUGAUUCGUAUGGCAAAUCAAGAAAAUUGCCAAAUGACAGAAGCUAUCGGCUGGCUGGAAAGUUGAAGAUAAAACAUCUAGAUUGAAUUAAAUGAUGGCCUUUAACAGCAACAUGUAACAAACCCUGUAUGAUGGUAACAUUUAUUGGUGGUAACAUCUGAAUGACCUGUCUUGUAGAUACUUCAGUAACUGUACCGUAACACCAUCAUGUGAAACUGAAACUGUAAUUCAAAAUUGAGGUGAUAUAUAUUCGCCUUACAUACCUCAAAUCGCUGUGAGUUCAACUCCACCGCAUGCUAUCUUCCUCUCUGGCUGUAAGUGGAAAGGUCUCAGCAACCUGCAGAAGGUCGUGGGUUUCCCUAGAGCCCGGUUUCAUCCCACCAUAUUGCUGGCUGCUGUCGUAUAAGUGAAAUAUUCUUAGCACGGCGUAAACACCAAUCAAAUAAGUAAAUAAAGACAUACCCCAAUGUAUGGACAUAUCUGAUUUUUGUAAAUACAAUUACAGGGCUGGAAAAAUGUGGAUUUUUUUUAGGCGCUCUGGCAGGCAACCAAGACGUUCAACUGUGGUUGGCCCCUUUCACCUUGGUUGCCGCCCACUUUUUAUGUCAUUUUGGUAUGUGAUCAUUUAAAGUACAAUACAAUAAAAUACAAUGACAUAAAUAAUAUCUGAUAAAAGUGAUUUUCUGAUUGGUGCUGAAAUCAUUAAUACUGAGAAAUGGUUAAAUACGUUUUGAUCCAUCAGUUAUGUUGCCUUUGAAUACCCUUUUGAAAAGUAUGGAAUGGAAUUUUUAGGCAGCCAUAUGCAUUUUCAUUGAUGUACGGUUCGGAUGACAGUCCAAUUACAUUUUUGUGAACAGAAUUUUUUGGACAUGUAUUUUUUGACCAAAUUCAAAGCACGGUCGAUUCAUGAAUGAAAUGUA